rnacentral:rRNA from 1 species
CAAGCGUUAUUCGGAAUCACUGGGCGUAAAGGGUGCGUAGGCGGCGCGGAAAGUCAGGGGUGAAAUCCCGGAGCUCAACUCCGGAACUGCCUUUGAUACUCCCGUGCUGGAGAGCUGGAGGGGACAUCGGAAUUCACGGUGGAGCAGUGAAAUGCGUGGAUAUCGUGAGGAACACUAGUGGCGAAGGCGGAUGUCUGGACAGUAUCUGACGCUGAGGCACGAAGGCCAGGGGAGCGAACGGG